rnacentral:rRNA from 1 species
UACGAAGGGGGCGAGCGUUGUUCGGAUUUACUGGGCGUAAAGGGCGCGCAGGCGGUUCUGUUUGUCGAGUGUGAAAGCCCCGGGCUCAACCUGGGAACUGCGCUCGAAACGGCCGGAACUAGAGUUCGGGAGAGGAGAGUGGAAUUCCCAGUGUAGAGGUGAAAUUCGUAGAUAUUGGGAAGAACACCGGUGGCGAAGGCGGCUCUCUGGACCGAUACUGACGCUGAGGCGCGAAAGCGUGGGGAGCAAACAGGG